GAUGAACGCUGGCGGCGUGCCUAAUACAUGCAAGUCGAGCGAACAGACGAGGAGCUUGCUCCUCUGACGUUAGCGGCGGACGGGUGAGUAACACGUGGAUAACCUACCUAUAAGACUGGGAUAACUUCGGGAAACCGGAGCUAAUACCGGAUAAUAUAUUGAACCGCAUGGUUCAAUAGUGAAAGACGGUUUUGCUGUCACUUAUAGAUGGAUCCGCGCCGCAUUAGCUAGUUGGUAAGGUAACGGCUUACCAAGGCGACGAUGCGUAGCCGACCUGAGAGGGUGAUCGGCCACACUGGAACUGAGACACGGUCCAGACUCCUACGGGAGGCAGCAGUAGGGAAUCUUCCGCAAUGGGCGAAAGCUUGACGGAGCAACGCCGCGUGAGUGAUGAAGGUCUUCGGAUCGUAAAACUCUGUUAUUAGGGAAGAACAAAUGUGUAAGUAACUAUGCACGUCUUGACGGUAGCUAAUCAGAAAGCCACGGCUAACUACGUG
rnacentral:rRNA from 1 species